AUCCCACAGGAGGAGAUUUUAGGGCCCUCUCAAACUUCUAUUUUGCUAUCUCUCCCCAGCCUGCUUCCUCUGCAAAAGUCACCACUUUGCCUGUGCAUCUACCACCUCUUAGAGCCUUUGGAAUCAGCCACGAAUUGCAGUGCUGAUUCCUUCCAUGACCACAUAUUGUUUACAGGAAAACUCUUCUUCGUUAUGCCUUGCCAGUCAGAGUGAAGGUUUCAUCCGCAACCUGGACCAGGUUCGGGAAUGUUCUACACAUAAAUGAAGAAGAGAUUAGGACACAGACAGUACAGACUGAAGGACAAUCGUUUGAAGACAGAGUGGAGAACACAGCUAUCUGCAAGCCAAGGAGAGACGUUUGAAGAAUGGAACACUACUGCCACCUUGAUCUUGGACUUCCAGCGCCCAGAACCAUGAGAAAAUAAAUUGUAUGUUGCCUAAGCCACCCGGCUGUUGAUAUUUUGUUUACGACAACCCAUGACUCAGAAAUUUGAGGACCUCCCCCCAGACUUUAUCCUGAAGUUCUGUUUCAGCUUCAGGGGCUUGUGUAAUACUACUGUAUCAAGGAUGGAGGCUCCUGCCAUUCCCCGCACUGGGUCAUUGAGACACUGCACAGCUGUCCCCAGGGCUGGCUACAUAAUUUACAAGCCCCAUGCAAAAUGAAGAUAUAGGGCCCUUUGGGCAAAAACAGGGAGGAAGUGUUUGUUAAAGGUACUAAAAUAGAAAGCUCAUUUCCUCCAUGGUCUGUCUUCUGAAGGGGCAUGGCUGCUGUUUUCUAUUUGCAUUUAAUGUCAUUCCAAGCAAAUAAAAAUUUUAAAAUGUGA